rnacentral:rRNA from 1 species
CCUACGGGAGGCAGCAGUGGGGAAUAUUGGACAAUGGGGGCAACCCUGAUCCAGCCAUGCCGCGUGUGUGAAGAAGGUCUUCGGAUUGUAAAGCACUUUAAGUUGGGAGGAAGGGCUUUAGGCUAAUACCCUGAAGUUUUGACGUUACCGACAGAAUAAGCACCGGCUAACUCUGUGCCAGCAGCCGCGGUAAUACAGAGGGUGCAAGCGUUAAUCGGAAUUACUGGGCGUAAAGCGCGCGUAGGUGGUUCAGUAAGAUGGGUGUGAAAUCCCCGGGCUCAACCUGGGAACUGCAUCCAUAACUGCUGGGCUAGAGUACGGUAGAGGGUAGUGGAAUUUCCUGUGUAGCGGUGAAAUGCGUAGAUAUAGGAAGGAACACCAGUGGCGAAGGCGACUACCUGGACUGAUACUGACACUGAGGUGCGAAAGCGUGGGGAGCAAACAGGAUUAGAUACCCUGGUAGUCCACGCCGUAAACGAUGUCAACUAGCCGUUGGGAACCUUGAGUUCUUAGUGGCGCAGCUAACGCACUAAGUUGACCGCCUGGGGAGU